rnacentral:rRNA from 1 species
UACCAGCACCCCGAGUGGUCGGGACGUUUAUUGGGCCUAAAGCAUCCGUAGCCGGUUCUGCAAGUCUUCCGUUAAAUCCACCUGCUUAACAGAUGGGCCGCGGAAGAUACUAUAGAGCUAGGAGGCGGGAGAGGCAAGCGGUACUCGAUGGGUAGGGGUAAAAUCCGUUGAUCCAUUGAAGACCACCAGUGGCGAAGGCGGCUUGCCAGAACGCGCUCGAUGGUGAGGGAUGAAAGCUGGGGGAGCAAACCGG